AGAGUUGCGACACCUUAAGGGUUUCGCGGGAUGGAAUGAGUGGGGAGAUCAAUUCAAAUUGAAAGCCGAUUGUUUCGACAAAAAUUUGGGUACGAAACAAUUUAGGUACGAAAAAAAAUUUGGGUACGAACAAAUUUGGGUACGAAAAACAUUUUGAUACGAAAAAAAUGGGUUCGAAAAAAAAAAGUUGGGUACGAACAAAUUUGGGUACGAAAAACAUUUCGGUAAGAAAAAAAUGGGUACGAAAAAAAUUGGUUACGAAAAAAAUUUAGGUACGAAAAAAAAUUUGGUUACAAAAACAAAUUAGAGUACGAAAAAAUAUAGGGAACGAAAAAAAUGAAGGUACGAAAACUAUUUUGGUACGAAAACAUUUAACAUUUGUAAAGACAUAAAACAAACUAAAAAGAUUUUAUUUCAUGUUUGGGUGGUGUCCAUUGUAGUAUGUCAGGUUAGUGUUGUUUUGUCAAAGCAUGAAUCAAAUUUGAUGAUAAACAAGAAACAAUCGGAGACGGGUGAUGCUCCCCAAAGGUUUUUUGGUCACAAUAUUGCACUAUAUAUUCAGAUAAAAGGAAACGUCUUGAGGGGCAUAACUCUGGACAAAAUAAUACAAUGGAUGGUUAAGUAACUUAAAAAUUUCAAAGGGCCAUAACUCUCUAAAUAAAUCAUGUAACCCGAACCCACUUAUAACAUGCGCAUCUCCUAGAGGUAGUUAAGAUUCCCAUAAAGCUUUAUUGUAUUCCAGUCAGUAGUUGGGGAGAAAUAGCCCGGACAAGAAUUGCACUACAUAAAUAUGUACAGUUUAUAGAAAAUGUAAAAGGGCCAUUACUCUGUGAAAAAUCAACCGAACAUAACCGGCUGAUAAUAUGCACAUCUCCUGUUGGUAGUGAAGCUUCCCAUGCUGUUUCAGUGAAUUCCCAUAAUAAGUUGCUGAGAAUUAGCUCUGACAAGAAUUGCACUAUAUGUUCAAUGUAAAAUUUCAAAGGGCCAUAACCCUGUGAAAAAUCAUCCGCCGAGAACCGGCUGAUAAUAUGCACAUGUCCUCUUGGUAGUGAAGUUUCCCAUAAAUUUUAUUGAAUGCCAGUCAUUGGUUGCUGAGAAAUAGCCCGGACAAGAAUUGCACUUUAUGUACAGUUAAUGGAAAAUUUCAAAGGGCCAUACAUUGUAACUCUGUGAAAAAUCAUCCGACCAGAACCGGCUGAUAAUAUGCAUGUCUCCUCUUGGUAGUGAAGCUUCCCAUUAUGUUUAAUUGAAUUCCAGUCAUUAGUUGCUGAGAAACAGCCCGGACAAAAAUUGUGCACGGACGGACAGACGAAGCGGCGACUAUAUGCUCCCCCCUUAAAAAAAUUGGGGGGGAGCAUAAUAAAGAAGUUGUGGCAAUUUAAAGGUGGUACGCAAACUUUAAAAUAGAUUUAUCAAUUAUAUGCUUAUUCUUAGUGAAAAAAAGGCCAUAAUUGUUACAAAAUGCUUGAUACAGUUAUCUGCUUGUGUUUAUACAUUGGGGUCAUGUUGGUUAAGAAGCAAAAUACAUGUAUGAAAGCAAUAUGUCAAGGGACAUAGAAAAUAUUUGAGGUGAUAUGCAAACUUUAACAUAGAUUUAUCUAUAAUAUGCAUAUUCUAAGUGAAAAAGGGCCUAAUUCUGUUAAAAUGCUUGAUACAGUUGUCUGCUCAUGUUUAUAGAUUGGGGUUAUGUUGGUAAAGAAGUAUCCAAAAUAUAAAAGCAAUAUGUCAAUGGACAUAGGAAAUAUAUUUGAGGUGGUACGCAAACAUUCCAAUGCGCGCGCCAACGCCGGGGUGAGUAGGAUAGCUCCACUAUAUAUGUUUCAUAUAUAAUAGUCGAGCUAAAAAGUAAAUAUACUAUAAACAACAAGCUAACCUCAAUCACAACUUUAAUGCAAUGCAGUUAAACAAUAAAGUUACAAUGAUAUGCCAGGGAUUGAAACUAAUUUUUUUUUAUAUUGUGGGCAACCAUCUUUAGUAUUUUGGUUGCCCAGAUAAAGAAUAACCAGCCCAGAAAUACAACAUAUAUCAACAUGUAAAUAUUAUUAUAAUAGAUAAUUAUAUACAUUUGCUGACAAUACACAUGUUCAAUGCAUGAUGUAUUAUUAUGAGCCUGAAUUGAAUCAUGUCCGAUUCCUAAAUAAUGAAUGUUAUUUAACUAGUAUUGAUCCAUGGUGAUCAAUUGUUUUUCAAUUUUUAUUGCACUGUAUUGUUUUAUGCUUUAAAAAAAAAGAAGUUUACCAACUUUUGAAAAUGAGUUGCCCAGGCCAAAAUCUACUUGCCCUGGGCUCACGGGAAACCACUUAUUUCCAUCCCUGUAUACUCUUCAUUUUCUGUUCUUCCAUCCCAUUCUCAAAAUUAAUUUUAAAGCACAAUAUUUUUAAUAACAUUUGUAUGAAUUGCUAACCAUUAUCACCCAAAUAACAAUUUUACAAAGCUGUAAUCCUGUCGUAAAGAUUUAGUUUACUAUUAUCAGUGUUCUCUUAACUUAAAUACCGGCAACCAGCGAUUUUGCCGGUUACAUUUACUCUUGAUGCCGGCUACUUUUCCCAAAUAUAUCAAGUAAAUGUCACAAAUGCUUUCGUUUUACUGCAUAGUUGCCGGCCAUAUAACUGGCUACUCAAAUUUUUCUGGAAAACACUGAAUUAUGCAUGACAAACACACAAUACUUACAUGUAAAUAAACCUUAGAUUCGUUUUUAAAAUAAA